rnacentral:lncRNA from 1 species
AAGAAGAAAUAAUGCCACAUAAGCACCACAUCAAUAUUUUUGUAGAUUUUAAUGCCACAUAAGUGCCAUAUAAGCACCGGAUAUUGUCACAUCGAAUUUUUGAUAAGAGAAAAUUAUCAGAAUCGCACCUGAGGGCAAUAUUAAAUCGGUUCAGAUAGUUGGAGGACUAAUAUUUAGGAUUUUAUAGUUCAUGAAUCAUUUAAGAAAAUCUGACUUAGUUCAUAAUUUAUCCUUAAUUCUACAGCUUGUCUUCUUGUAAGUCCUUUGGUUAGUGGAUCUAC